GACGCGAAAGUUCCUUUCGGGGAGCGAGUAGAGUGGCGCACGGGUGAGUAACACGUAGGUAAUCUACCUUUGGAUUGGGAAUAACCACCGGAAACGGUGGCUAAUACCGAAUAAUGCAGCGGCACCUAAUGGUGACAGUUGUUAAAGCGGGGGAUCGCAAGACCUCGCGUCUAAAGAGGAGCCUGCGGCGGAUUAGCUAGUUGGUAAGGUAACGGCUUACCAAGGCGAUGAUCCGUAGCCGGCCUGAGAGGGCGGUCGGCCACACUGACACUGACAUACGGGUCAGACUCCUACGGGAGGCAGCAGUCGGGAAUUUUGGGCAAUGGGCGAAAGCCUGACCCAGCAACGCCGCGUGAAGGAUGAAAUCCCUCGGGAUGUAAACUUCGCAAGAACGGGAAGAAUAAGUCGGUGCCAACACCAUCGACGAUGACGGUACUGUUUGUAAGCUCCGGCUAACUCCGUGCCAGCAGCCGCGGUAAUACGGGGGGAGCAAGCGUUGUUCGGAUUUACUGGGCGUAAAGGGCGUGUAGGCGGCCACCGCAAGUCGACUGUGAAAUCUCCGGGCUUAACUCGGAAAGGUCAGCCGAUACUGCGGGGCUAGAGUGCAGAAGGGGCAACUGGAAUUCUCGGUGUAGCGGUGAAAUGCGUAGAUAUCGAGAGGAACACCUGCGGCGAAGGCGGGUUGCUGGGCUGACACUGACGCUGAAACGCGAAAGCUAGGGGAGCGAACGGGAUUAGAUACCCCGGUAGUCCUAGCCUU
rnacentral:rRNA from 1 species